CAGCGGGAGCCUCCGAGUCCUCACAGGGGAAGCCCAUGAAUCAUCACAAACCUGUCCCCACGUGGCUCUUUCUCCCCUGCUCUGUCUGGGGACCCCGUGGCCCAGUCUAGUUGACACAUAAAAUUAACCAUCAUAGUGGCUAGCACUCUGAGGUGCGCAUCUUCCUGGGGACAAGGCUGCUGAUGGACACAGCAGCAUGAGCCAGGGCAGGGACCAGGAGGACCAGACACAGAGGGGAAAGGCCUCAGCCCAGCGAGACGCACGUGAGGCAGGGGCUGAGCAAAGAGGGAAAUAACGCGAACAAAUGUGCUUGCAAACUGUAAAGUGCUUCUGUUCAGCUAGUACUAGCCAUAGUAAACAUCUGCCUGCUCUGUCCACAGGGCUGGCCAUCGUGUCUACGUGGGGACGAUGGGGAGACCAGGCCAGGUUGGAGGAGCUCCAGGGAAAGAAGGAGGCUGAAUUCUGGUCCACAAGGGGCUGUGAGCCUGAAAGGGAAAUCGCAGGUCUGCAAAGUCUACAGUCUUUUCUGUCUGGCUCUUUAUGAAGUGUGCUACCUCUGCUGUGGCUGGUCUGCUGAGCCGCUCACUUAACAAUCGAUAGCACCUGCUAGGUGCCGACCUCCUGAUAAACUCUGGCUGGAGUCACAGAAAAACGGGACGUCAUCCCUGCCCUCUUGGCACUUGCAGUCCAGAGGGAGAGACUGACACCAAGGCAUCACCCAGAGGCACCCAGUGAGACUCAACCCCAGGACGGGCCGGGACGUGCUUUCAUCACCAGGACUGCUGGGUGAGGAUAAUGUCAGCACAGCUGGAAGGGGGGACCAAGGACAGCAGACAGAGAGACAGCGUGGCCCUGGUGACUUCAGCUGAGCUUUGCCAAGUGAGCUCUGCCUAGCCCUGGCUUGCAGAGGGCAGCAAGUCCCCUCACCCUCUGGUGACUGAGUUUUCAGAGAGCCAGUCUGGGACACAGCCACACCAGACAGAAACCAAAAGGCAUAAUAGCAAUAGCAUCAUAUGUCAUAUAUACAUGCUUUGUUACUUUAAUGUAAAAAUAUGAAAAUAGGUGUUUAUUUGAAGUUAUAUAUUUUUCUCUAUUGUUUACUUUUCUGUUCCAUAAAUGCUGUUAUUUAAACAAAACAACAAUAGGACUAGUUAAAAGGAACAAUUAGUACUAAUUAAUAGCAGGACCAAUGAAACAAAUAUGAAAAAAACCCACUAUUUUUAUAAUGUCUCUUUUUGUCCUGUGAUAUAACAAUUUAACUCUUUUGAAAACUCUUUAUUGGAUA